rnacentral:lncRNA from 10 species
GGCUGAGCCACUUGUUACUGUGCCUGCUUCCUAUGGCUACUGUAUCCAGCACCGCCGGCGCUCUGCACUGACAGCUGACGCAUUUGACCUGGCUCCCAUUAGCUCCAUCACCACCUGGAUAUCGCUGAAGGGAUCACAGCAGGAAAUUACUUGUGCUUGUCAGUUGAUUGUGCAGUGAAGAGACCGGUGGGGCUAAGAGCUGAAGAUCUCUAUCCACCGACCAGGGAGAUUGAAAGGCAGUGCGAUGGAACGGCACGGCCGCUCCCUGACCUCGGCCUUGACCUUGACCUUGAGCCCCCAGCCUCCCAGCAAGCGAGAGAAAGCCCACAAUGCAGUGGCCUGAUCUGGCCGGCCUUGGCCAUCACCCUCCAC